rnacentral:rRNA from 1 species
GACGAACCGUGCAGACGUUGUUCGGAAUCACUGGGCUUAAAGGGCGCGUAGGCGGGUGGUCUCGUCAGGGGUGAAAUCUUUCCGCUCAACGGGAAAACAGCUUCUGAUACGGGCCAUCUCGAGGGGGGUAGGGGCAUGUGGAACUUCCGGUGGAGCGGUGAAAUGCGUAGAUAUCGGAAGGAACGCCGGUGGCGAAAGCGACGUGCUGGACCCUUUCUGACGCUGAGGCGCGAAAGCCAGGGGAGCAAACGGG